rnacentral:rRNA from 1 species
GACGAACGCUGACGGCGUGCUUAACACAUGCAAGUCGAAGGGAGUGGCGAACGGGUGAGUAACACGUGAGUAACCUGCCCUUUUCUUUGGGAUAAGCCUGGGAAACUGGGUCUAAUACUGGAUGGGUUGGGAUGGGCUCGUGGCUUAUCGGCUUGUUGGUGGGGUGCUGGCUUACCGAGGCUUUGACGGGUUGCCGGGCUGAGAGGGUGGUCGGUCACACUGGGACGGUCAAAAGGCCCAGAGGACUCCGGGGGGCAGAAGUGGGGGAUAUGGGACAAUGGACGAAAGACCGAUGCAGCGACGUCGUGUGAGGGAUGAAGGUCUUCGGGUUGUAAACUCCGUGCGGCAGCGGAAUGGUAGUGGGAAAAGAAGCGCCGGCUAACUACGUGCCAGCAGCCGCGGUAAUUC